AGAACAUACCCCUGACUCCAUCCACUGACUUCUAUGAGGAAUUAGCCUUGGACUGUUCUGGUCAGCAGGUAGUUUCUCAAUGGACAGUAUUCUGAUUUCGCUUCUCUGGAAUAGGUGUAAGAAAUAAGGAGAAUGUCAAGUUGACUAAAGCAACCUGUUUACAUAAAUUGAUCUGGAAGAUAUAUGGGGGCCCUCAGCAUCAAUGACAGAACCAUCCCUCAGCCCCUCUAUUCUUCAGCUUUCCCUGGAGAAGCAGAGCAGAGAUGGUGCUUUCCUCCUGGAUGCAGGCUCUCAUCAUCAUGUAUAGCCCAGACUGGCCUGGAACUUGC